CUGAAAAGAGAGCUGUUUAGAGGUGAGUGAUUAAGUUUUUCUCCUAAAUAGAGAUCAUUACAGAACGCCUAGUCCUACUUAAAAUACCAUUCAUUUUUCUUUUAUUUUAUCAUCUACUCGAACUGAGGAAAACGUUUGACUAACUCAAAGAAAAUUUCCGCGCCUCCCCUGCCUGUCUGCAGAGGCAGUUUUGAAUUCAGGAGCGGCAUGAUGGCAGCGGCAAACCCUGGCGGUUCUCCGGGUUCGUGGCAACCACGGAUGGGAAAAUGUGGAGGUUGCACGGCUGAUGUUUACUGUUCGUGGCACAGGAAGAGGCAGUUUCAUUUCAGGAAUGAGUGUGCACAAUCAAAGAAUAGAGCGACUGUGGAGAGACCUCUGGGUGGCCGUUACAUGCAUUUACUACGAUGUUCUUCACAACCCUGAGGAAGAAGGCCUUCUUGACAUUUCAAAUGUUGCACACCUCUUUUGCUGCCAUUACAUCUUUCUUCCUCGACUAGAGGAUAAUUUUAAUACAUUUUGCAGUGGAUGGGACAACCAUCCACUGCGAACAGAAAACAACAUGAGUCCCCCAACCAGCUGUGGGAGUUGGGUCACAGAUAUUACCCUGUUCCUGUUCCAGAAAACACACAGCUUAUCACACAUUUGAUUUCCAUGUGUGACGACUGCAAGUGUCCAGAGUGAGGACAGACUGAGGGACCCACUGCUGCACAUCAUCUGUGAGGCUUUGCACCCCUGAUGAUCCA